rnacentral:ncRNA from 2 species
UAAUAUAGUCUUAAAAAAGGUGCAGGCCGAUUACAAGCCUGCUUAAAAGGGAAGCCGGUUGGAAUCCGGCGCGGUCCCGCCACUGUAUAUGCGGAGCGCUCCUCUGAAACAAGCCACUGUUCAAGGCGAACGGGAAGGCCGGAGGGGAGGCGAUGAGGCAUAAGCCAGGAGACCUGCCUUUUUUCAGUCAAGGUU